rfam:Gossypium raimondii chromosome 13, whole genome shotgun sequence.
AUUCUGUGAUGAGGGCACUUUCGUAAUAAUAUUUUGUACCUUUCCCAUGCCUCAUACAAUGACUUAUCAUCGAUUUGUUGGAAAGUAGUGAUCUCGUUCCUCAACUU